CCUACGGGUGGCUGCAGUGGGGAAUAUUGCACAAUGGGGGAAACCCUGAUGCAGCGACGCCGCGUGAGUGAAGAAGUAAUUCGUUAUGUAAAGCUCUAUCAGCAGGGAAGAAAAUGACGGUACCUGAGUAAGAAGCACCGGCUAACUACGUGCCAGCAGCCGCGGUACUACGUAGGGGGCAAGCGUUAUCCGGAUUUACUGGGCGUAAAGGGAGCGUAGACGGCAGUGCAAGUCUGAAGUGAAAGGCGAGGGCUCAACCCCCGGACUGCUCUGGAAACUGUUCGGCUAGAGUGCAGGAGAGGUAAGUGGAAUUCUUGGUGUAGCGGUGAAAUGCGUAGAGAUUAGGAGGAACACUAGUGGCGAAGGCGGCUUACUAGACCAUAACUGACGUUGAUGCUCGAAAGCGUGGGGAGCAAACAGGAUUAGAUACCCGUGUAGUC
rnacentral:rRNA from 1 species